UAGCUCUGUUGGUAGAGCAUGGUGUUUGCAAUGCCAGGGUUGUGGGUUCGAUUCCCAC
rnacentral:tRNA from 1 species